UUUCUCAUUUCUUUCGUUCAUUCCCUUUCUUUAACAUGGUUCCUCGUUUUCCACAUAGUUCAUUGUUUUGUCGCUCCCGCUUCCCAACAGUCACCGUCACCGAGUGAAGUUGCCGUCUCCGUCACCGUGCGAAGUCAUCGUCUCCGUCACCAUGUGAAGUCGCCGUCACCGUGCGAAGUCGCCUCGUCACGGUCGCGUAUUGUUUCUGUGCUCUUCGUCUACUAGCAUCACUAUCGCAUUUCGUCCAUCUCUUAUAUGCUUUCUGUAUUUGAAGGAUCCUGAAAUUUCAGCCAAUUUAACAAACUCUGUUACAGGAUCGGCUAAACUCCAGGGCUCAGAAUCUGGAUGGCUAUUUUGCUACUCAACGGAUUGAUUUUGGAAUGUGCCACCAAAUGAAUUCGGUAUCUCCUAUUCAUAAUGAUUAUUACUACAACCAGCAUGGCAUCCAAGACCCGGGACAGUUGAACUCAAUUGCAUCCAUCCAUGAUCCCUGUUACAUGGCCCCACAAAGGAUGCAUGCGAUGGGUUGUUGUCGGCUUUAAAAGCAUAUCUGACAAGGAUUUGGGAGCUCGAAGCAUUUUUGUUUUGAAGAGUACGAAGGUGCAGCAAACGAAGGUGGGAGAGGACCAAGUAUAUGGGAUGCAUACACUCACAAAUAUCCAGGUUAAUAAUCUGAUUAUAAAUGUGUAAUACUUGCAGACAAGAUAAGGGGUGUAAGUAAUGGAGAUGUAGCUGUUGACUAGUAUCAUCGCUAUAAGGUAAAUUUUAAAUUUUAGUGAUGACAACAAGAAACCAAUUAUCUCUCUUCCUCAAAGUAAUUAAUUAUUUUUGGAUGUUUUUUAUUUAUAUAACAAGAAGAUAUUCAGAUAAUGAAGAAUAUGAAUUUGGAUGCAUACAUAUUUUCCAUCUCUUGGUCUAGAAUCCUACCAAGUGAGAUCAAAUUUGAUGAACAAUUUUUGUUUUUGAAAUUAUUGUAGUUGGAUCUUUCACAUUAACAAUUUCAAUCUUGUUUUUCAUAUAUAGACGGAAAGCUGAGUGGAGGUGUAAACCCAGAAGGAAUCAGAUAUUACAACAACCUUAUCGAUAAUUUGCUAGCCAACGAACCAUAUGUGACACUUUUUCAUUGGGAUCUUCCACAAGCUUUGGAAGAAGAAUACGGAGGUUUCUUAAGUCGUCGCGUUGUAGAUGAUUUUCGACACUAUACAGAAAUUUGUUUCAGAUACUUCAGAAACAGGGUGAAAUAUUAGAUUACUCUGAAUGAGCCAUGGUCUUAUAGUAACAGUGGCUAUGCAGUUGGGAGUUUUCCACCAGGUUGAUGUUCUAAAUGGUUAGAUUCAAGACGUAUUUGAUAGGCUAAGAGGAAAGCUACACAAGAGAUAGCAAAAAAGAAUGUCCACCCUCAUAGAUUGUCUCGUGGGGAUUAUGAUAAAUUUGAGCAGAAGAUGAUGAAAGAGGCAUCUGCCUCUAAUUCCAGUGGGACUACUGUUACUCAUCCUCCUUGCCAUGAUAAAUGGAAAAGAGCUCGUCAAAAACCAACACUUUGAAAAUGGGACUGGCAGUUGUAUAUAAUGAUAUUUGAAUCUGUAGGGGUCACUGACAGUUGCUGAUAAUUCUUUCUCAGAAGUUUGUUGUGGUUCUUUUGUGUUCAGUACACAACAAGCCUAACACUUUGAAAAUUAAAAGUACUUUACAAGCAGCGGUUGAGGCUCAUUCUAGGUUGCAGGGACAACAAAUCUUUUCUAGAAAGAAGUUGCAAUUCAUUACGCCAACUAUUUUCAAUGACACAUCUCCAAUGGAUCAAGGAGUCUUGAAGGAAGUUCGUGAGCAGUGAGCUUUGUUUCUUUUAAGUGUUUAUAUAAAAUGAUGUUAGGUGUUUUAUGACUUAUAUAGUAAUUCAUUUUGGAGUAGUAUUAUAUUUCAUAUAAACAUUAGAUUCUAUUUCACGUAAA